AGGUGGGAGUCUAGAACAAAACAGUUGAAUGUAACCAAUGUUGUCUCGCAGUGAUGAUGCAUGUCCAUUUCAGCCUAGUCAGAAUAAUAAUGCUACGGGAAAUAUGUAAACUUUUGGAUAAACUAUUGUAUGGGUGUUCCAUGAGCGCGCGGAAGACCGGGCAGAAAUAUUGCAUAUAUUAGCUGCUUUUCUUGAGGGAUCUCCAUGACAACAAUUUGUGAUGGCAAAGAAUUCAAUACUGGGGCGCUUGGAGGCUGAUUGGGGAGCAUUGUGAGGGGCCUGGGGUCGCUGAUUGGUUCAAGGAAAGCACCAUAACUACAAGCAGUUUAUAUUCAUUCAACUUGUUGAAGCAGUCAGACUGCGUCUGGGAUAGAGACAGGAAUGGGAAUCCUCAACAGGGGACAUGGUACGUUCUAUUUGUGGAUAUGAAUGGAUAACUUGCAACCGACGUUUUUUUAGGCUAUGCGCAAUUGUGUAGGCGAAUUAUUGUUUUAUCAUGCGUAAUUGUGUAAUUAUUGAGGGAUUCUUCAUGAACAACGAAUAAUAUUUUUAAGAUGAAGAAUAUCAUUUUCAUGGACUUUUUUGGUAGUAUGGAUUAAACGAUUUACACUUUCACACUGUUUAAAAUGGCAAGUGCAGACAGUGAAGUGAAAACGUUACUGAACUUUGUAAACUUGGCAUCCAGUGACAUCAAAGCGGCUCUAGACAAGUCAGCCCCUUGCAGGCGCUCUGUGGACCACAGGAAAUACCUGCAGAAACAGCUCAAGCGUUUUUCUCAGAAAUACUCUCGGAUGCCCAGAUGCCACACACACAGGUCCGCGGAGUCUGGCAUCGUCAAAGCCCUGGUGGACAAGUCUAGCGCGUAUUCUUUGGAGACAAUUCAUCAGAGCAUGACGCCCAUCAAUGAAAAAGGGGGUUCGGGUGCGCAAGACGAGGAGAACGUAAGGAUGGGUCAGAACCCAAUUGCAGACAGUGCUAACAGCAAGCAAGAUCAGGUACCCAUGAGGAAACGUCAACUCCCUGCAUCGUUUUGGGAGGAACCCCGUUUAGCCCAAACCAAUACAGAACCUUCACUGUAUGGAUGGAAAAAGAGCCACGGUGUGACCCGAAUCAAUAGGGUUGAAAAAAAAAAAAAAAAUCACCAGGAACCAAAACCGACUUUGUUUCAAUCCAAUCGACUUGGCUCUGUCGAAAAAGAACCGCUCAACGUGGACUUGGUCUCUCACAACGUCAGUGUGUGCGGUUGCUGUCCGUUUCAGUACCAUGGACACCACAUCUUCCAGAGUCACAUAGUUGUUCCCCACUCAACUGUGGGACUCUGGGGAAAAGCCACAGUGGCUGAAAUUGAAACGCCUGAUAUGGCACACGGACAUAAUAACCAAACGCAUGUCGUGGUCAAACCCAUACCGACUAAACCCACGGUCCCCUCAUCAAUUUUCAGCGUGUUUGGCUUCAUUUAAACACAAUUAUGCACGUAUAAAUAUAAUUGAAAUACGCAAUUCUUCAUUUAAAUAAGCAACAAUGAAGAUGUAAAUAUUAAUUAGUUGACUUUGCAAUGCCAUAUGUUUCUAUUUAAAACUUGGUAUUUCUCUUUUUUUAAGAGUAGUCAGUCAUAAGCACUUAAGUCUUUCAGACCAAAUAGGCUAUUUCUGCUUGGAAGACCUGCAACUUUAGCCUACCUAUCACUUGGCUUCCAUAAAAUCUAAGAGGAAUUCAUGAUAAAAUCAUAGCACUGUAUAAAACUGAAAAAUGUAGACUAUACUUCAUCAUCCUUCUCUCUAAUUCUAUACUUCACAUGUGUUGGUAUAGGAUUGGAGUGACAUUCGAGGUUGUCCAUUCUUUGAUUAUUUGUGAUCAGCUAUGCUGAGGGAAAGGUCUGCUUGUAUGUUGAUUACCUCAUGGUGUUUGUGUAGGCUAUAUAUUUCUUAAAUACACUGAUUUAAAAACGAAUUGAUCUAAAUGACUUGUUGUAGUUCACUGAUAUUUUUCCACAAAAGGUAAACAGACUGACAGUGACGUUUCCCCCCCAGAAUUUCUGGAUAUUUUCUGUUGUAAAUAAUACUUGUGAAAUGGAGAAAUUACAUUUAUUUUUUUAAAUAAAAUGCAGAUGUUUCGA